AAAUGAAGAAUAUUUAAAUACUAUCAUUAUCUGCCAUAGUUUUAAAACUUCCUUUUUAUAACCUUGUAGUGACAUACAACUGUCAUACAAUACUGCUCUUACUGAAUUCACAGAAUACAUAUAUAUAUAUAUAUAUCAAAUAUACUAUAUUAGUAUUCAUUGUAUAUUGCUUGAAAAAAAAGGGGAAAAAGAAAAUCUGAGAAAGAAGACUUUAGAUGAAGCCUUAAAACUAUUUCAAAAUAAAUCCUCAGUUCCAAAGUUGGAAUAAAUUCUUAAAUAUUUACUCAACAAACUUCCCCUAAAGUAACAAGUAUACAAAUACCUAUGUGGCACGCACUACAUUAGACACAACUCCCCAAACUCCCUGAUAAACAGCCACUGUCACUGCAGAUGCAGGCUCAGGUCUGCUACCCCAGCUCACAGCAGAUGCUCAUCAGGAAGCUCACUCUGUUUCCAGGAGUGAAGACCAGCCUGCACGCCACAGUGAGACUUCAUCUCAAAAACAAACAACGAUGGGAUUGGGAUUUGGAGGAAACUGAAUCCUCCUCCCUCGAUGGCUUAAAGGUUACAGAAUUAAGGCUGCGAGGCCUGCAGCCCUUUCAACAUGGCAUGUCCACUGGGAGAACUAUCAGCACAUCUUCAGCAUUACAGCACGUCACAGUUCAUGUACAAGUAUUCUCCAGUUACGAGCAUGUAAAUGACAUUUAGUUAAGUGAUUAGGUCACUUACUCUCCCAUGCUGGUUGGAGCAUUCCACACAACUGACUUGGAUGUUCCCAUGCUUAGCACCAGGGAUGAUCUGCACACAUUCAAAGUCACUCGCCAGAAUAACAAUAUCACAGCCUGAUCCAUAUGCCUAAAAAGGAAAAGUUGUGUGACAUUGUAAGAGAUAUAAUUUUUAGUUAUUAUUACAUAUUAUUUUAUCUUGGAUUCUGUUACUAAUAUAAAGAUAUUCCUUGACAUUAUCUUACAAAAUACUUUAAUACACAAAUAAGAACAUUAAAUAUCAUAUCAAAAAAACCAUGCCUUUAAUCCCUUUAAUGCACUCAGCAGUCAGAGGCAGGUGGAUCUCUAUGAGUUCAAGGCUAGUCUGGUCUACAGAGCUAGGACAGCCAGAGAGAAACAGAAACCCUAUCUCAAGAAACAAAUAAAAAGCCAGGCGGUGGUGGCGCAUGCCUUUAAUCCCAGCAUUUGGGAGGCAGAGGCAGAUGGAUUUCUGAGUUCGAGGCUAGCCUGGUCUACAGAGUGAGUUCCAGGACAGCCAGGGCUAUACAGAGAAACCAUGUCUUGAAAAACAAAAAACAAAACAAAACAAAAACAAAAACAAAAAAACAAAAAAAUCAUAUCAAAAAAUAAACCAAUGGCAUUCCACGCAUUAUCAUUCAAAAGCUGCUUUCAACAGGCAAAAGUUCUUCCGGUUUUAUACACGACAGCUUCCACUGCUGCAGCAGAAGAAUCACUGAUUAGUUUCUCUCUAGCGCACAUCUCUUUUUUAUUAUUCCCUAAAGGAAAUCAUAUAACCCACACUUGAAAAUACUAAAGGCACUGAAAACAGCAAUGCAGUCUCAGGAUUCAAACCAGGCUUAAGAAAAAUCAAGAUAGACAUCAGAGAAGCACUUUGUAGCACAAGCUACAAGUUGAAGAUCUGGCAAAAUCAAUACGAAGACACAAGGCAAGAUGCCACACACUUAAGACACCGCUAGGUAAAUAGCCCAUCCAAAACAACAACAACAACAGUUAACUGCCAUGAUAGAUCUACAUGACAGUGGCAAAAGAUAGAGGCUAUACUACUUAAUAAAGACAUCAUAUUCUCUUUAAUCUCCGGGGGGAAAAAAACCUAAAAGGCUGAUAUUUAUACUACUGUUUUUGUUAUAUUAUUAUUACUAUUACUAUUAUAUAAAGAGUUGAGUUCAUUAAUGUGCCUAGGAUUUAACUAGGAAGUGUCCAAACUCAGGCCUAUGAUCCUUACACUCUUCCCUGAGUUACAAGUCAAGUAAAUACUAUUCAGACAGGAAUGUGCUGGGGGUGGGAGGCAGAGGGAACUUCAAAAAUGGCUUCUGUUCAUAGCAAAUCCAACAGGAACCUGGGGUGCCUGCAAGGGUAGGCACAAAAGAUGAGAUCUUUCUGCAGAGAGACACUGGGAGGGGGAGGGCAAACUGACUGCUGCUUCUCCGGAGAAGUAUCAGUGCAGCUGCCUCUCUAACAGGUCGGUCGCUGCUCACGUCGCUAAGCAGUCCUCUCCUGCUCAGCCCCUGAUGAGCACUUUAGUCCUCCUCGUUCCCAUGCACUAAAUUUACAAAUAACCCCAGGUUAUCCCAAUUCAAGAUCAACAAUUCAAUCACAUCUGCAAAAUUCCUUUGGUCAUAAGGACUGGGGCACAGCCAUCAUGACUAUGGUUUCUGUCUACCACUUAGGACCAUAGACGAACUAGACACUGAGCAAUAAAUCUGAAUGGACUGAAAUCAUGUAACUGAUCAUGUGAGCACUAAGCAAAGAGAAAAAUCUCAUGUAUUUAGAAAAUUUAAUAUACUACUAAAUUACAUCCCUGACAAAGAAAUCACAAAGAAAACAGGUACUCCAUAUAAGAAAGACAUUUUAACAUGUGCAUGUGUGUGUAUGUAUGUGUGUGUAAGUGUGUGUGUGUAAGUGUGUGUGUGUAAGUGUGUGUGUGUAGGGGGCAGGCAACUAAAGCACUGUAUGCACAGAAGUUUAUUAUCUUUUAAUUCUUAUAGUAGCAAGAUAAAAAAAUUAUUAAUAAGCUAAGUUUUCACCCAAGAAGCCAGACAAGACAGCUAAUAAAAGUCAAGUGAGUUCUGGUUAGUCAGCAGGCAGAAGGACAAGUGUGAGAAAAACAGAAAAAGAAUUCUUAAAAGUUGAACCUUUGAAAAGAUUCAAAGGGAAACAUACCUUUUGAAUUCUGCAAUGGUUCUCAAACCUGGCUACAUUGAACUUACCUAAGACAACUGUUUAAAAAUGCAUCCCAAACUUUCCAGCUCUGAGUUUCCUGUGUAAAAGAGCAUGGGUGGAUACGGAAGGAUGACCACAAGGUCAAGGCCAGCAUGAACGACACAGGGUCAAAUGAAACCAUUUUCAAUCCAAAACUAAAACAACAACAAACUAGGCAUGGUGUAAGGAACUUGUAGUCUCAACCUUAGGAGAGGUAGAGACAGGCAACCUAACAAUUUUUGGUUCCAAAACUCUUAAGUAUCAAAAAAAAAAUUUUUUUGAUCAAAGAAUGUGGAGCUGAGAAAGGUAGCAUAGCCUCCCAGCUGAUAAUUUCCAGUGAGCGAUGUAAUGGAUACAGAAGCCUACAGAAGGAAUCUGAGAGUCAAGGGCACGUGGAUCAAGGGCACGUGGAUCUCGGAGUUGGAGGACAGCCUAGCCUGAUCUACAAAAGUGAGUCCCAGGACAGCCAGGUGACAUAGAGAAACACAGUCUCAAAACAAAGAUAAAUAAACAAAAUAAAAUAAAAUAAAGUUAAAAUGUCAUCUACAAAACCUAUACAUAAUCUAUAGUUACUAAAAAUAUUUUAAAUUUCAGAGAUCAAAAGUGAUUUUGCUCUGUUCUGCAAGAGCUCAGGUUUUGUCUGAGGAAGAAUUUCUAGUACAAGAGGGAAAUGAGCGUGUAGUAAGCAAAUGCUAGCAUCGCUCCCGGGCGUAUGGGGGGGAGGGGCUCUGUACUAGGUAAAUGAGGCAGCUGACAUCACUGGGCAUGGCUCUGAUAUCACUGUAUGGAGAUGCUUCCCAUGCAAAGGAGAGACAAGAUUAUUUCUGCAGCCUUGCCACAUGGCUAGGACUACAAAAUAGAAUGACCCUCUCCCUUCACUUUAAAAGUUGUUUUCAACUCUUGAUGAAAAAGUUACUAUCAUCUAGUAAAAGGGAACCAUACUGUGAAACAGCAUUCUGCAUUGCCAUGAUAAAGGCACUGUCUUGCUUUGGAGACUGGCAGGUGGCUGGAGCUGAUGAAAUGUCUGUACUCCAGCCUUUCUCACUUCAGUUUUAGACAAUUGCACUGACAAUGUUAUUUCUAUUACAAAAACCUAGCAUUCUAAUUCACUUUAUCCAACCUCUUGCACUUGUUAGAUAUUUCAAAUAAACUAAAUACAAUGUCAAGUAACAGGCACGCUGGCUCAGGCUUGGCGUCCCAGUUCUUGAGAACCUGAGGGAGGAAGAUUACUUUGAGUCCCAUGCCAGCCAGGGCCAAAGAUUAAGACCUCGUCUCAAAACACCAGUAACAACAAAAUUGAGUAUAAAAACCCAAAUGUUUGAAAUGUUUACAUGAAUCUGAUUUUCCCUAAGAAAGUACAAAAUAUAAAUACAAUGUGUCAAUUGCUGGUGAAGACAAAAUCUAGGAAAUGCCUCCUUAGGCAAUUUCAUCAAGGUGUACUGUAUUCUGUAACCAAGCAAAGAACUGAAGAGAGUUACUCUCUGUCUCAUGGUUAUACAAGUUACCUUCAGAAACCAGUCUUGGGAGGUGAUGUUGACCUACGAAUAGGUCUAGUAGCCAAAGACACAAAGCACAGACUGACAAAUUCUUCCCAAGAGCUCAUGCACAGCCACACUUCCAUGGUCCCAACUAAUCUCCUAUAAUCCCAGCUAAUCAGCCACCAGCCUGGACAGCAUAGGGUGAAUCUAUCUCAAAAAGAAGAAAGAAAAGAAAAGAAAAGGAGAGGAGAGGAGAGGAGAGGAGAGGAGAGGAGAGGAGAGGAGAGGAGAGGAAAGGAGGAGGUAGGAGGGUGGAUUGGGGGGAUGGAAUAUGGAGUGUAAAAACUAAAUUAAAAAUAAAAUAAAAGUAUAAAAACAGGAGGCAGGAAGGUAAAAGGUAAAUACAGAAGAAGGGAGAAGGGCAAAAGAGCAAUAAGGACAUCUGAGAAGUUAUAAGGGGUCAUACUACUAACUACACAAAGAGAAACCCAUAAUAAACAUAAUUCUAUGUGUAAACACAUGUACAUGAUUUAAAUGAGCUUUUCUUAUCUGGGCUGACAAUGCUCCCUCCUAAAACUAAUAACCAUCUAGCAAAAAUCUAAAUACCAGACAUGAAAAGACCUCUUUUGAGUUAUUGGUCAGGGCUAUCCAAUAGACAUUUAAAGCAUACAGCUUAUUGUUAUUGCCCUUGGUUCCUCCCUAAAGGUAGAAAGCCCU
rnacentral:lncRNA from 1 species